AAACUGAUAGUGAGAGUAAAAUAUAAUAACAAGCUCAGAAGAAUGUGAGUUUGUUAUUAUAUUUUACUCUCACUAUCAGUUU